rnacentral:lncRNA from 1 species
GGCUGUAGACCCACAACCAUCCACACAUGAAGCUUCCACUCCCCUGGAAGGUAACCCCUGUCCUCUCCAUCCUAGCCUUCCUUUGCCUACUGGGACUAACCUGCAGGACUCUUGCUAGCCGCCAGGAGACCAAGACCUAAAAAGAGACGGAUGCCCAAGGUCAAAUCGCUCCUGGGCGCACACCAGCAGUUCCACGGCCUCCUAUCGCCUGCCCAGGACCGCCCGGGCAACAUUUCUGCGCUGCUGGGACUCCGCCCGUCCCUUUGCAGCCCUCCCUACCCCGUCGCUCGUGCAGACCCAGCAGGACCCAGGGGCAGCCAGAGCGACAGACUAGUGUCUUUCAGGGCACCCGGCCGCUCCGACCGCCCUCCCCACAGCCAGGUCCCUCAGUCCCCUCCUCUGACCCCUCCCUCCCGUUCCUUCCUAGGCCUUUUCUGCUCCUCAUCCUAGGCUCCCUAGACUCCUCUGUUUCUGAUUCUUCUCUGGCCCCAAGUCUAGCUUCUCCUGUCCUCACCCUGGUCGCCUCCUCCCGGGUCCCCGCCACCCUCUCUGCGUACCGGGUGACGCAGCGCCGCCUCCCGCUCCCGCCUCCCCGCGUCACCGCCGGGCAGACUGCAGGGGCCGCUAACGGUCCCGCGCCCCCCCCGGUGUCCGCGCGCCCCGCGCCCGGCGGACGAGGCCGCGCCGGCGGCGAUGGGGGCAAUGGGGGCGGCGGAGCCGCUGCACUCCGUGCUGUGGGUGAAACGGCGACGCUGUGCCGUCAGCCUGGAGCCCGCGCGGGCUCUGCUACGCUGGUGGCGGAGCCCGGAGCCCGGGCCCUCCGCGCCGGGUGCCGGUAAGUGUGGCCAUCCCGGGCUGGUGGGGCCGGCGCUGCAUCCACCCCGGCCUGCGUAGCCCGAGCGCUCCGGGCAGGCUGGGAUGGGGCGGAACUCGGAGGGAGGAGACCUGGGGCACGGGGAGAGGCGCCCGGGAUACCGAGGCGCGGGGAAUCCGAGACGCAGAGCCCGGGUGCCGGGCGGUCUAAGUACUCCGCGGCCUCUGGCGGGGAACCGUCUGGGUGCUGAGAGCCCAGAUACUCCUGGAACUGGGAUGACAAAGCCUCUGGAGGUGCUGGAGGGGGAGGGGAAGAGCGGACGUCCACAGCCCCCCACCCCCCAUCCCGGAGCAUCCGCGGGACCCUGGGGGAGGUCUGUUGCUGGUGCUGCCGUCGGGAUGGCGCUGGCACACCUGGACAGGACUGGUUUCUGGUCAUAUUCUUCGUCCAAUACAGUGAACCCAAGUACAUACACAUGUUUCUCUAUGGGAGAAGCCCAGAGGGGCCCUGGCAGGGACUUCCUGCGAUUAGGCAGUUGAGCAAGGGCCUUUGACUUUCCGAUGGAGUGUACACCCUGCUCAGCCGCCCUCAGGGUUGAAAGAGGAGUAGCUUAGGCCAGCAUGGGGAAAAAACGCAACCCACCCGCAGUGACUGGGAAUGGUGCAAGGACACUAGAGCCACUCUCCCCGGUGCUUUGCUGCAGGUUGUCUGGUGGCCGACGGAUUGGCGGAGAUUUUAAAGAUGUCAUUCAGUCCUCCUUAAAAGGAGGAUUACAGAAGAUUGUAUGUGGACAUCUGGGCUGGGGGGCCUUGUAGACGACCUUGUAGACGAAUUCAGUUUCAUAAAUUCCUUGCUCC